UCUAAAUUUUCAUUCAUAACAUAUUUACAUUUAUUUAUUGUACAUCUUUCCUCCGUAUAUAAUAUUAACAUAUCAUUGCAGCAGCUGACUGAUGUCAUAUGUCCCACCCCAUUUUUCGUUCUUAUUUUACAUGUUAUUUUUUUUCCCAAUUUGUAAUAAUGGUUAUCAUAAUAAGCGCAAGGUAUCCGAAGCCCUGUAAUAACAAGGUAAAGAAAACUUGCAGAUGUAUUUAAUUGCAUGCAUUUCUGGGUUCUGGCCUGAGGCCCGAUAUGCAUGUGUGAAUAUGCUGUGACUUUGCAUGAUGCAUGACUUGUGAGCAGUCAGACUCAUGCCAUUCUGGUCUGAGAUUCCUGAUAGCAGAAAAGCCAGCGGCAGACCGCAAUAGCUCUGCAUAAGCAAACAUGCCGGAAUUUGACACUAACACCGGUGCAUUUAGACUUUGAUUUGUGUUCCUCUCAACAGAAAAGAAAGUUCUGGAAGGACUCAGCCAAGCAUUUUUCUCAGACUGCAGUGAAAGGGUAGACAGAGCUUUGCUUUGACACACACUGCUAGGCAUCAUUCAGGCUGUAUAAAUCACUGCACUUUACUCCACAGGCAGAAAGUGUCCUUUUUAGAUAUCGUGCUACCUUCGAGACUCGGGGCCGCCUUUAUUUCGUGCGAGAACUUAGGAAUGCAUCAGAAAGAGUCCAAAAAACGUUGCAUGGCAAAAAAGUGUUGUGUGACUAACCUGCUUUGUUAACCAAAGACUAGAUGGCCUUUCCAGAGAGGAGGCCUGUGGACAUGGCCCUCAGUAACAUUACCUGGACUUGUUUCUGCACUGCUUGCUUCCCUCCCAGUGACCCUCUGAGUAGAUUCCCCCAGGCUUCAGCACCUCCAAGCCAACCAGACUGGUGAGAGAGUGCCAGGUUGUAUUGGGCCCCAGGUACAGUGCAAUCGAUAACUGGAACUGAGGCGCUCUUGCCGGAUGUUAACACACGCAUGCAGGACAGAAGGAUGAUCCAGAGCAAGGAACCUGUCCUUUGGGCGCUUCGGCCACCUGACCACGACGACCCUCCUCUUGCCACUAUGUUUAGUCAAGUGACAAUGAUCGUCUCCCUCUCCGGACUUUACCCUUUUGGCUGAAU